rnacentral:pre_miRNA from 1 species
AAAAAGACAAACCCUGGUUUCCGUGCCCAACAUUUGAUCGUCCGUCUUAUUUAAAAAAAUUAUUAAAAAAAAUUAAAAAGACAAGUCACGCAUAAAAUAUUAAUCAUGUUUUAUCAUCUAACAACAAUAAAAAUACGAAUUAUAAAAAAAUUUUAUAUAAGACGGACAGUCAAAGUUGGACACGAAAAUUCAGGGUUUGUCUCUCU